GACGAACGCUGGCGGCGUGCUUAACACAUGCAAGUCGAACGGAAAGGCCCUGCUUUUGUUGGUUGCUCGAGUGGCGAACGGGUGAGUAACACGUGAGUAACCUGCCCUUGACUUUGGGAUAACUUCAGGAAACUGGGGCUAAUACCGGAUAGGAGCUCCUGCUGCAUGGUGGGGGUUGGAAAGUUUCGGCGGUUGGGGAUGGACUCGCGGUUUAUCAGCUUGUUGGUGGGGUAGUGGCUUACCAAGGGUUUGACGGGUAGCCGGCCUGAGAGGGUGACCGGCCACAUUGGGACUGAGAUACGGCCCAGACUCCUACGGGAGGCAGCAGUGGGGAAUAUUGCACAAUGGGCGGAAGCCUGAUGCAGCAACGCCGCGUGCGGGAUGACGGCCUUCGGGUUGUAAACCGCUUUCGACUGUGACGAAGCGUGAGUGACGGUAAUGGGUAAAGAAGCACCGGCUAACUACGUG
rnacentral:rRNA from 1 species